rnacentral:lncRNA from 1 species
CCUCGCCUCUAUCAAGUGGUAUCAGUUUUCAGGUUGCUCGGUGAGAAAUUCCAGUUUUCCUAGAUUAGAUUUAUUUUCUUACCUAUUGUCCAAGAAAAAGCCACAAAAAAGCUAGAUCUAUUCAUCCUUUGUCCAAGCCAGUCCGAGCCUUUGCAAUUUUCUUUUCAUUGCUUGCAUAGUUGAAUUAUCGGUUGCAUCGUCGUGUCGAGUUGCUGGUCUUAGUGUCUUGUUCGUUUAGAGUUUCGAGUUCUGUUCACAUUAGUCACGCCGCCGCUGCAUCGUUAUCCCUUUCACUGUCCACCACCCAUUCAUCAAUUCCCACCACGUGCUACCCAUCGUUCAUUAUCUAAAUCAUAGUUGAGGUCGUUCACAUCUUCCCUAGAUCCAAUCUGCAUCUUAUCUAGUUUGUUUUGGAAAGAGGGAGAGAGAAAAAAACAAAAGAAGAGAAAAAAAAGUUCGAGAAAAAAGAGAGAAAGAAAAAGAAAAAAAGUAUGAGGAAAAAAAGAGAAAAAAGAGAAAAAAUUGCAAAAAAGUGAAAAAAGAGAAAAAAAAUUCAAAGUGUGCUCCUCCCUUGUUUACGUGCAACGCCGUGAUUUUGUUAGUGUUCUAGGCUCGCGUCUCUAGUACGGUCUAGCCUAGGACCAGCAAAGUACCGUCGUUGAGCGUUUAUUCAACAUUGCAUCUCUGAAUUGAUUAUUGCUAAUCUUUUGCUACCAUAUAUAGCCAACCCAGCUCCACAUAUUUCUACACCGUGUAUACGUACGUUCCCCUGGCAAUCACUUUACACAAUCUUCAGAGUUAUUUGACACCGCUGAUUGCCUGUCACCACCUGCUGCUUGGUAAGAACUUGUAAGAUAUUGAUAUUUGCUUUACUGUGAGCGCUUUACCACCACACCCUAGUAGUUCAUAGGAACAUUAUUCUUGAAUUUUGUUUCUUGUUUCUACUAAGCAUGACAGGUUCCGAAGAUAGAAGUUCUUGGACGACGGACACAUCUUCACCAUCACGAGAGUUGGGACAACACACACAAGCACAUGCUCAGGUUAUCUUUUUACCGUCAUUUGAGGGUAGAUUUAAUCCUACUACUUAUCUAGCUUGGGAGCUUGAAGUAGAACAAGUUUUUAGUCACCAUGACUUUCCUGAACUUGAGCGAGUGCGAGCAGCCACUAGAGCAUUUACUGAUUUUGCUUCUGUUUGGUGGAGUGUACAUUGUAAGAAAAACAUUGAUAACCAACCCACAACUUGGAAAGUUUUGAAAUCUGUAAUGAGACAACAAUUUUCCCUCCUUAGUAUCGUCGUGAAUUGCUUCGCAAAUUUGAACAAUUUAAACAAGGCAACAACACUGUUCAUGCUUACUACCAAGAGUUCAAAUCUUAUAUGCAUCAUUGUGACAUAGAAGAAUCUGAGAAUGAUACAGUGAAUAGAUUUUUGGUGGUUUGAACCAUGAUAUGCAGGAAAGAUUUCAGUAUAUUCCUUGUUGCAUUACUGGUAUGUAUGUCCGUGCUUGUACCUUUGAGAAACAGAUACAGGAGGAUACAUUAGGUGACUACAACAACUACUAUUCCAGUUCAUGCUCACCAACGCUGGUUGGUUCCUCCACCGUUGCACCUCGGAUUAUGAGCGCGGCAUCAUCUCAAGGGUAUGGUACAUUGUCAAUGUCCGUACCUACAUCAGCUACAUCUUUGCGACAAGGUAACAGUAAAGGUAUUGAUGAUAUAACUUCACAUGAGAAUGAUGCAUGCCUAGUUAACUUGAAUGCGUCAUGUAUUGAGUUACCUAUUGAUUUGAGCACACCACCUAUUUUAGAGAAUCUUGUUAUUUUCAUGAAUGCGUCAUGUGAUCAAACAACUGAAAUAUCAACAAUUUUGAGUGCACCCAUUGAAUUAACUGUUGAUGCAAAAGAACCAAUGUUUAAUCAUUUUGAUAUGACCUCCAAUCUUCGUGAUGAUUCUGUGUCCAAUGACUUAUUGCAUGUUUGCUUAUUUAAGCAUGUUGUAGCAUGUAAAUUUGAUGCAAGCAAGGUUUAUUCACCAAAGUUGGGAUGGUUUAAUGAUGAACAUUGCCAAUCUUUUGAAAUGAAUAAGAGCUUCACUUAUAUGUGCAAACUAAGUUGCAAUAUUUUCAUGCCUUCUACUUCUUGUGAUAAUUUUUUGGCUUUAGAUUUUAUGAACUAUGAAAGUUACUCAUGUAUACAUGUGUCAUAUGUGCAAAAAUCAAGGGAAGUUAAAAUGGAUGACAUAUACAUAUACAACAUGUACACCUUGUCUCUUUUGUUAGCCACAUUUCAGAUUAAGCAACGCCGAGGACGGCUUUGUUUUCAAAAAGGGGAGGAUGAUGAGGACAUGACUACCUUGGAUACGACCAAAAAUAUUGCAUACAUGCAUAUUUGUCAAGUGAUUUCUAAUGCAAACUAUUCAAUAAUCUAUUUAUGUUAUCCAGAACAAAAAUACUUCACACAUUUUUGUGUUUUGUGUAAUUGCAGGUGUAUGGGACAUUUGUACAAUCCGCAUAUGAAGAUAAGGGAAAAGGAUAAGUUUAGGUUCUGUUCAAAAAGUCCUCUCACGUCACUUUUGGGCCAAGAGAAGAUAGAGUCCAAGUCUCUCAUGUUCUGGAUUCAGAUUCGGACUGCACAGACAUACCUGACUCAAAACACCAACAACUUUUUCAUACAGACUCCGAAUUGGGUGAUUCUUUAUUUGUUAGAAACUAGAUUUCGUGCUCGUUCCAACCCAAUUGGUUCACCUUCAAAUUCGUCCGGAGCGUUGAGUUAUGGACGAAACAAUCUGACGUUGCAGCAGAAUCCGAGUCAAACUACAAGCCCAAAGGUGUUGCAUCACCUCCACUUGGGCCCAUGAGCCUUGUAUGACCUAGGGUUAGUUUUAGGCUGCCUUGGGACGUCCUCCCACCUCCUUGGCCGCCACCCCUUGCUCCUAUAUAAGUAGAUCCAUCUAGUAGCUUUUUCCUUGGGAUUUGUUUAGUUAAAAGUUAGCCAUUGCAACUUCGUGUACUUCGUUUGUGUCCAACGACCAAACCAAGACCGCUUACGGAUCCCCACCAUUAUCAAUACUUCAUAUAUAUUCGCAAUAUUCGGAUUGCUUUAUCAUAUUCUUGCUCGUUCUUCGAUUGCUUGCAGGAAUAGACCUUCGUGGUCAGGCUGACCGUGCUUCCGGCAUAGUCAGUAACCUCAGGAGAUUGGUUUAGCGAUUGCUAAGGCGCAACGUCGUGCAUGUUUGUAGUUGGAUCGUCAAAGUCGUCUCCACGAAAUUGAUAGUUAUCAUCUCAUCGAACGAUCGGGACACCCUUGCCUCUAUCACUUGAUCAGCCCGUAGCAGCCACGUAAAACUUGCAACAACAAAGUAGAGGACGUCUAACUUAUUUUUGCAGGGCAUGUUGUGAUGUGAUAUGGUCAAGACAUGAUGCUAAAUUUUAUUUUAUGAGAUGAUCAUGUUUUGUAACACAGUUAUCGGCAACUAGCAGGAGCCAUAUGGUUGUCGCUUUAUUGUAUGAAAUGCAAUCGCCAUGUAAUUGCUUUACUUUAUCACUAAGCUGUAGCGAUAGUCGUGGAGGCAAUAGUUGGCGUGACAACAACGAUGCUUUGAUGGAGAUCAAGGUGUCAAGCCGGUGACGAUGGUGAUCAUGGCGGUGCUUUAGAGGUGGAGCUCAAAGGCACAAGAUGAUGAUGGCCAUAUCAUAUCAUUUAUAUUGAUUGCAUGUGAUGUUUAUCUUUUAUGCAGCUUAUUUUGCUUAGAUCGACGGUAGCAUUAUAAGAUGAUCUCUCACUAAAUUUCAAGGUAUAAGUGUUCUCCCUGAGUAUGCACCGUUGCGAAAGUUCGUCGUGCCGAGACACCACGUGAUGAUCGGGUGUGAUAAGCUCUACGUUCACAUACAAUGGGUGCAAGCCAGUUUUGCACACGCAGAAUACUCGGGUUAAACUUGACGAGCCUAGCAUAUGCAGAUAUGACCUCGAAACACUAAGACCGAAAGGUCGAGCGUGAAUCAUAUAGUAGAUAUGAUCAACAUAGUGAUGUUCACCAUUGAAAACUACUCCAUCUCACAUGAUGAUCGGACAUUGUUUAGUUGAUGUGGAUCACGUGAUCACUUAGAUGAUUAGAGGGAUGUCUGUCUAAGUGGGAGUUCUUAAGUAAUAUGAUUAAUUGAACUUUAAUUUAUCAUGAACUUAGUACCUGGUAGUAUUUUGCAUGUCUAUGUUGUUGUAGAUAGAUGGCCCGUGAUGUUGUUCCGUUGAAUUUUAAUGCGUUCCUUGAGAAAGCAAAGUUGUAAGAUGAUGGUAGCAAUUACACGAACUGGGUCCGUAACUUGAGGAUUAUCCUCAUUGCUGCACAAAAGAAUUACAUCCUGGAAGCACUGCUAGGUGCCAAACCCGCUGCAGGAGCAACGCCAGAUGUUAUGAACGUCUGGCAGAGCAAAGCUGAUGACUACUCGAUAGUUCAGUGUGCCAUGCUUUAUGGCUUAGAACCGGGACUUCAACGACGUUUUGAACGUCAUGGAGCAUAUGAGAUGUUCCAGGAGUUGAAGUUAAUAUUUCAAGCAAAUGCCCGGAUUGAGAGAUAUGAAGUCUCCAAUAAGUUCUACAGCUCCAAGAUGGAGGAGAAUAGUUCUGUCAGUGAACAUAUACUCAGAAUGUCUGGGUACCACAACCACUUGACUCAACUGGGAGUUAAUCUUCCCAAUGAUAGUGUCAUUGACAGAGUUCUUCAAUCACUGCCACCAAGCUACAAGAGCUUCGUGAUGAGCUAUAAUAUGCAAGGGAUGGAUAAGACGAUUCCCGAGCUCUUCGCAAUGCUAAAGGCUGUGGAGGUAGAAAUCAAGAAGGAGCAUCAAGUGUUGAUGGUCAACAAGACCACCAGUUUCAAGAAAAAGGGUAAAGGGAAGAAGGGGAACUUCAAGAAGAACAACAAGCCAAUUGCUGCUCAAGUGAAGAAACCCAAGUCUGGACCUAAUCCUAAGACUGAGUGCUUCUACUACUAAGGGACUGGUCACUGGAAGCGGAAUUACCCCAAGUAUUUGGCGGAUAAGAAGGAUGGCAAGGUGAACAAAGGUAUAUGUGAUAUACAUGUUAUUGAUGUGUACCUUACUAAUGCUCGCAGUAGUGCCUGGGUAUUUGAUACUGGUUCAGUUGCUAACAUUUGCAGCUAGAAACAGGGACUACAGAUUAAGCAAAGAUUGGCUAAGGACGAGGUGACGAUGCGCGUGGGAAAUGGUUCCAAAGUCGAUGUGAUCGCGGUCGGCACGCUAACUCUACAUCUACCUUCGGGAUUAGUUUUAGACCUAAAUAAUUGUUAUUUGGUGCCAGCGUUGAGCAUGAACAUUAUAUCUGGAUCUUGUUUGAUGCGAGACGGUUAUCCAUUUAAAUCUGAGAAUAAUGGUUGUUCUAUUUAUAUGAGUAAUAUUUUUUAUGGUCAUCCACCCUUGAAGAGUGGUCUAUUUUUGAUGAAUCUCGAUAGUAGUGAUACACAUAUUCAUAAUAUUGAAGCUAAAAGAUGCAGAGUUAAUAAUGGUAGUGCAACUUAUUUGUGGCACUGCCGUUUAGGUCAUAUUGGUAUAAAGCGCAUGAAGAAACUCCAUUCUGAUGGACUUUUGGAAUCACUUGAUUAUGAAUCACUUGGUACUUGCGAACCAUGCCUCAUGGGCAAGAUGACUAAAACGCCAUUCUCCUAAACUAUGGAGCGAGCAACAGAUUUGUUGGAAAUCAUAGAUACUGAUGUGUGUGGUUCGAUGAAUGUUGAGGCUCGCAACGGGUAUCAUUAUUUUCUCACCUUCACAGAUGAUUUGAGUAGAGAUAUGGGUAUAUCUACUUGAUGAAACAAAGUUUGAAACAUUUGAAAAGUUCAAAUAAUUUCAUAGUGAAGUGGAAAAUCACCGUAACAAGAAAAUAAAGUUUCCACGAUCUGAUCGUGGAGGAGAAUAUUUGAGUUACGAGUUUGGUCUUCAUUUGAAACAAUGCGAAAUAGUUUCGCAAAUCACGCCACCCGGAACACCACAACGUAAUGGUGCGUUCGAAUGUCAUAAUCGUACUUUACUAGAUAUGGUACGAUCUAUGAUGUCUCUUACUGAUUUACCACUAUUGUUUUGGGGUUAUGCUUUAGAGACGGCUGCAUUCACGUUAAAUAGGGCACCAUCUAAAUCCGUUGAGACAACAACUUAUGAACUGUGGUUUGGCAAGAAACAAAAAUUGUCGUUUCUUAAAGUUUGGGGCUGCGAUGCUUAUGUGAAAAAGCUUCAACCUGAUAAGCUCGAACCCAAAUCGGAGAAAUGUGUCUUCAUAGGAUACCCAAAGGAGACUGUUGGGUACAUCUUCUAUCACAGAUCCGAAGGCAAGACAUUCAUUGCUAAGAAUGGAUCCUUUCUAGAGAAAGAGUUUCUCUCGAAAGAAGUGAGUGUGAGGAAAGUAGAACUUGAUGAGGUAACUGUACCUGCUCCCUUAUUGGAAAGUAGUUCAUCACAGAAAUCUAUUCUGAGGACUCCUACACCAAUUAGUGAGGAAGCUAAUGAUGAAGAUCAUGUAACUUCAGAUCAAGUUACUACCGAACCUCGUAGGUCAACCAGAGUAAUAUCCGCACCAGAGUGGUAUUGUAAUCCUGUUCUGGAAGUCAUAUUACUUGACCAUGACGAACCUACGAACUAUGAUGAAGCGAUGAUGAGCCCAGAUUCUGCAAAAUGGCUUGAGGCCAUGAAAUCUGAGAUGGGAUCCAUGUAUGAGAACAAAGUGUGGACUUUGGUUGACUUGCCCAAUGAUCAGCAAGCCAUCGACCAUCGAGAAUAAAUGGAUCUUCAAGAAGAAGACUGACGCUGACGGUAAUGUUAUUGUCUACAAAGCUCGACUUGUUGCAAAAGGUUUUCGACAAGUUCAAGGAGUUGACUAUGAUGAGACCUUCUCACCCCUAGCGAUGCUUAAAUCCGUCUGAAUCAUGUUAGCAAUUGCCGUAUUUUAUGAUUAUGAAAUUUGGCAAAUGGAUGUAAAGACUGCAUUCCUAAAUGGAUUUCUGGAAGAAGAGUUGUAUAUGAUGCAACCUGAAGGUUUUAUCGAUCCAAAGGGUGCUAACAAAGUGUGCAAACUCCAGCGAUCCAUCUAUGGACUGGUGCAAGCAUCUCGGAGUUGGAAUAAAUGUUUUGAUAGUGUGAUCAAAGCAUAUGCUUUUAUACAGACUUUUGGAGACGCCUGUAUUUACAAGAAAGUGAGUGGGAGCUCUGUAGCAUUUCUAAUAUUAUAUGUGGAUGACAUAUUGUUGAUUGGAAAUGAUAUUGAAUUUCUGGAUAGCAUAAAAGGAUACUUGAAUAAGAGUUUUUCAAUGAAAGACCUUGGUGAAGCUGCUUAUAUAUUGGGCAUCAAGAUCUAUAGAGAUAGAUCAAGACGCCUAAUUGGACCUUCACAAAGCACACUUGAUAAAGUUUUGAAGAAGUUCAAAAUGGAUCAAGCAAAGAAAGGGUUCUUGUCUGUGUUUCAAGGUGUGAAGUUGAGUUAGACUCAAUGCCCGACCACUGCAGAAGAUAGAGAUAAAAUGAAAGAUGUUCCCUAUGCAUCAGCCAAAGGCUCUAUCAUGUAUGCAAUGCUGUGUACCAGACCUGAUGUGUGCCUUGCUAUUAGUUUAGCAGGGAGGUACCAAAGUAAUCCAGGAGUGGAUCACUGGACAACGGUCAAGAACAUCCUGAAAUACCUGAAAAGGACUAAGGAUAUGUUUCUCGUUUAUGGAGGUGACAAAGAUCUUGUCGUAAAUGGUUAUGUUGAUGCAAGCUUUGACACUGAUCUAGAUGACUCUAAGUCACAAACCUGAUACAUAGUUAUAUUGAACGGUGGAGCUGUCAGUUGGUGCAGUUCUAAGCAAAGCAUUGUGGCGAGAUCUACGUGUGAAGCGAAGUACAUAGCUACUUCGGAAGCAGCAAAUGAAGGAGUCUGGAUGAAGGAGUUCAUAUCUGAUCUAGGUGUCAUACCUAGUGCAUCGAGUCUAAUGGAAAUCUUUUGUGACAAUACUGGUGCAAUUGCCUUGGCAAAGGAAUCCAGAUUUCACAAAAGAACCAAGCACAUCAAGAGACGCUUCAAUUCCAUCCGCGAUCAAGUCAAGGAGGGAGACAUUGAGAUUUGCAAAAUACAUACGGAUCUGAAUGUUGCAGACCCGUUGACUAAGCCUCUCUCACGAGCAACCAUGAUCAGCACCAAGACUCCAUGGGUGUUAGAAUCAUUACUGUGUAAUCUAGAUUAUUGACUCUAGUGCAAGUGGGAGACUGAAGGAAAUAUUCCCUAGAGGCAAUAAUAAAGUUGUUAUUUAUAUUUCCUUAUAUCACCAUAAAUGUUUAUCAUUCCUGCUAGAAUUGUAUUAACCGGAAACUUAGUACAUGUGUGAAUACAUAGACAAACAUACUGUCACUAGUUUGCCUCUACUUGACUAGCUCGUUAAAUCAAUGAUGGUUAUGUUUCCUAAUGAUAGACAUGGUUGUCAUUUAAUUAACGGGAUCACAUCAUUAGAGGAUGAUGUGAUUGACUUGACCCAUCCGUUAGGUUAGCACGAUGAUCGUUUAGUUUGUUGCUAUUGCUUUCUUCAUGACUUAUACAUGUUCCUAUGACUAUGAGAUUAUGCAACUCCCGAGUACCGGAGGAACACUUUGUGUGCUACCAAACAUCACAAUGUAACUGGGUGAUUAUAAAGGUGCUCUACAGGUAUCUCCGAUGGUACUUGUUGAGUUGGCAUAGAUCGAGAUUAGGAUUUGUCACUCCGAUUGUCGGAGAGGUAUCUCUGGGCCCUCUCGGUAAUGCACAUCACAAUAAGCCUUGCAAGCAAUGUAGCUAAUGAGUUAUUUACUGGAUGUAGCAUUACGGAACGAGUAAAGAGACUUGCCGAUAACGAGAUUGAACUAGGUAUUGAGAUACCGAUGAUCAAAUCUCGGGCAAGUAACAUACCGAUGACAAAGGGAACAACCUAUAUUGUUAUGCGGUUUGACCGAUAAAGAUCUUCGUAGAAUAUGUAGGAGCCAAUAUGAGCAUCCAGGUUCCUCUAUUGGUUAUUGACCUGAGACGAGUCUCGGUCAUGUCUACAUAGUUCUCGAACCCGUAGGGUCCGCACGCUUAACAUUCGGUGACGAUCAGUAUUAUGAGUUUAUGUGUUUUGAUGUACCGAAGGUAAUUCAGAGUCCCAGAUAUGAUCACGGACAUGACGAGGAGUCUCGAAAUGGUCGAUACAUAAAGAUCGAUAUAUUGGAUGACUAUGUUUGGACUUCGGAAGUGUUCCGGGCAAGUUCGGACAAAUACCGGAGUACCGGGGGGUUACCGGAACCCCCGUGGAGUGUAAUGGGUCUGUUGGGCCUUAGUGGAGAAGAGGAGGGGCGGCCAGGGCAGGCCGCGCACGCCCUCUCCCUCUAGUCCGAAUUGGACAAGGAGGGGGGGCCCUUUCCUUCCCCCUCUCUCCUCCUUCCCUCUGUCCUACUCCUACUCUUGGAAGGGUUGGAGUACUACUCCUGGUGGGAGUAGGACUCCCCUUGGGGCGUGCCUAGGAGGGCCGUCCUCUCCCCCUCCUCCACUCCUUUAUAUACGGGGGAGGGGGGCACCCCAUAGACACACAAGUUGAUCAGUUGAUCUUUUAGCUGUGUGCGGUGCCCCCCUCCACCAUAAUCCACCUCGGUUAUAUCGUAGCGGUGCUUAGGCGAAGCCCUGCGUCGGUAGCAUCAUCAUCACCGUCAUCACGCUGUCGUGCUGAUGGAACUCUCCCUCGAAGAUCCGCUGGAUCAGAGUUCGUGGGACCUCACCGAGCUGAACGUGUGCUGAACUCGGAGGUGUCGUACGUUCGGUACUUGGAUCGGUCGGGUCGUGAAGACGUACUACUACAUCAACCGCGUUCUCAUAACGCUUCCACUUACGGUCUACGAGGGUACAUGGACGACACUCUCCCCUCUCGUUGCUGUGCAUCACCAUGAUCUUGCGUGUGUGUAGGAUUUUUUUUGGAAUUACUGCGUUCCCCAACAUAAUACUGGAACGAAGUUCCACUGGAGAGGGGCCACUAGUUUCCCACGAGGAAACAGGGCACGACCACCCCCUAGGCGCACCCUGUUACCUUGUGGGGCCCAUGAGGCUCCGCUGACCCUAAUCUCAAUUCCAUAAAUACUGUAUUACCGAGAAAAAAUAAGAGAAGAAGUUUCAUCACAUUUUGCGAUAUGGAGCCCCCGCCACCUCCUGUUCUUCAUCGGGGGAGGGGGGCUGGUUUGGAGUCCGUUCGGGGCUCUAGAGAGGGGGAUUCAUCGCCAUCAUCAUUAUCAACCCUUCUCCAUCAACAAUUCCAUGAUGCUCACCAUCGGGAGUGAGUAAUUCCUUCGUAGGCUUGCUGGACGGUAAUGGAGUUGGAUGAGAUUUGUCAUGUAGUCGAGUCAAUUUGUUAGUGCUUGAUCCCUAGUAUCCACUAUGUUCUGAGAUUGAUGUUGCGAUGACUUUGCUAUGCUUAAUGCUUGUCACUAGGACUCGAGUGCCACGAUUUUAGAUCUGAACCCUCUAUGUUUUCAUGAAUAUAUUUGAGUUCUUGAUCAUGUCUGCUAGUUAUAUGCACUUGUUAUUAUUCUGAUCCAUAAACCCCAAAGUGACAAUAGUUGGUAUACUCUUCGGGGAUGACUGUAAUCCAAGGAGUUCAUGUAUUCACCAUGUGUUAGUGCUUUGUUCUUGUUCUCUAUUAAAAUGAGGUCUUAAUAUCCCUUAGUUUUCUUAUGGACCCCGCUGCCACGGGAGGGUAAUGUUGGGAAACGUAACGUGGAAUUAAAAAAAAAAUCCUACGCUCACGCAAGAUCUAUAUAGGAGAUGUAUAGCAACGAGAGGGGGAGAGUGUGUCCACGUACCCUUGUAGACCGAAAGCGGAAGCGUUUGACAACGCGGUUGAUGUAGUCGAACUUCUUCUCGUUCCGACUGAUCAAGCAUCGAACGUAGGACACCUCCGAGUUCUGCACACGUUCAGCUUGAUGACGUCCCUCGAACUCUUGAUCCAGUAAAGUGUCGAGGGAGAGUUUCAUCAGCAUGAUGGCGUGGUGAUGGUGAUGGUGAAGUGAUCCGCGCAGGGCUUCGCCUAAGCACUACAACAAUAUGACCGGAGGCGUAAGCCAUGGAGGGGGGCGCCGCACACGGCUAACAGAUGUUGUUGUAUGUUCUAGCGGUGCCCCCCAUAUAUAUAGGUUGGAGGGGAGGAGAGGCAGCCAAGGGGGCGCCCCAAGUAGGAGGAAUCCUACUUGGGCGCCUCCCAAUUCGGCCUCCCCCCUUCCAUAUUCAUCCGGAGGGGGAAGGAAGGAGGAGGGAGGAGAGAAGGAAGGGGGAGGCCGAAUUGCUCCCCUUCCUUUCUCUCUUCCCCUCUCUCCUUCCCCUUUAUUUCGGCCUACAUGGGGUGCACCAGCCCCCUAGGGGCUGGUCUAUCCCCUUCUUGGCCCAUUAGGCCCAUGUAGUUGCCCGGAACCCCUUCCGGUGACCAGAUAUGUACUCGGUACCCCAGGAACACUUUCGGUGUCCAAAUAUCAACGUCCAAUAUAUGAAUCUUUACCUCUUGACCAUUUGGAGACUCCUCGUCAUGUCCUGAUCUCAUCUGGGACUCCGAACAACAUUCGGUCAUCAAAUCACAUAACUCAUAUAAUACAGAAUCGUCAUCGAACGUUAAGCGUGCGGACCCUACGGGUUCGAGAACUAUGUAGACAUGACCGAGACACCUCUCUGGUCAAUAACCAAUAGCGGAACCUGGAUGCUCAUGGUUACCACAUAUUCUAUGAAGAUCUUUAUCGGUCAUACCGUAAUGACAACAUACGUUAUUCCCUUUGUCAUCGGUAUGUUACUUGCCCGAGAUAUGAUCAUCGGUAUCUUCAUACCUAGUUCAAUCUUGUUGCCGGCAAGUCUCUUUACUCGUUCCGCAAUGCAUCAUCCCGCAACUAACUCAUUAGUCACAUUGCUUGCAAGGCUUCUUAUGAUGUGUAUUACCGAGAGGGCCCAGAGAUACCUCUUCGAUAGUCGGAGUGACAAAUCCUAAUCCCGAUCUAUGCCAACCCAACAAACAUCUUCGGAGAUACAUGUAGAGCAUAUUUAUAAUGACCCAGUUACAUUGUGACGUUUGAUAGAACACAAGGUAUUCCUCCGGUAUCCAGGAGUUGCAUAAUCUCAUAGUCGAAGGAAUAUGUAUUUGACAUGAAGAAAGCAAUAGCAAUAAAACUGAACGAUCAAUAUGCUAAGCUGACGGAUGGGUCCUAUACAUCACAUCAUUCUCCUAGUGAUGUGAUCCUGUUCAUCAAAUGACAACACAUGUCUAUGGUUAGGAAGCUUAACCAUCUUUGAUUAACGAGCUAUUCUAGUAGAGGCUUACUAGGGACACGGUGUUCUGUCUAUGUAUCCACACAUGUAUCAAGUUUCCGGUUAAUACAAUUCUAGCAUGAAUAAUAAACAUUUAUCAUGAUAUAAGGAAAUAUAAAAUAACAACUUUAUUAUUGCCUCUAGGGCAUAUUUCCUUCAGUCUCCCACUUGCACUAGAGUCAAUAAUCUAGUUCACAUCACCAUGUGAUUUAACACCAAUAGUUCACAUCUUUAUGUGAUUAACAACCAUAGUUCACAUCGCCAUGUGACCAACACCCAAAAGGGUUUACUAGAGUCAAUAAUCUAGUUCACAUCGCUACGUGAUUAACACCCGAAGAGUACUAAGGUGUGAUCAUGUUUUGCUUGUGAGAGAAGUUUAGUCAAUGGGUCUGCCACAUUCAGAUCCGUAUGUAUUUUGCAAAUUUCUAUGUCUACAAUGCUCUGCAUGGACCUACUCUAGCUAAUUGCUCCCAUGUUCAAUACGUAUCUAUAUUGAGACUUGGAGUCAUCUAGAUCAGUGUCAAAUCUUGCAUUGACGUAACUCUUGACGACAAACUCUUUGUCACCUCCAUAACCGAGAAACAUUUCCUUAGUCCUCUUUCGGUACCUAAGGAUAAUUUUGACCGAUGUGCAGUGAUCUACUCUUGGAUCACUAUUGUACCCCCUUGCCAAACUCAUGGCAAGAAACACAAUAGUUCAGGUACACAGGAUGGCAUACUUUAUAGAACCUAUGGUUGAGGCAUAGGGAAUGACUUUCAUUCUCUCUCUAUCUUCUGCCGUGGUCGGGUUUUGAGUCUUACUCAACUUCACACCUUGCAACACAGACAAGAACCCUUUCUUUGACUGAUCUAUUUUGAACUUCUUCAAUUUUUUUUGCCAAGGUAUUGCUUUGUGAAAGUCCUAUUAAGUAUCUCGAUCUAUCCCUAUAGAUCUUGAUGCCCAAUAUUUAAGUAGUUUCACCAAGGUCUUUCAUUGAAAAAUUCUUAUUCAAGUAUCCUUUUAUGCUAUCCAGAAAUUCUAUAUCAUUUCUGAUCAACAAUAUGUCAUCCACAUAUACUAUCAGAAAUGCUACAGAGCUCACACUCACUUUCUUGUAAAUACAUGCUUCUCAGAAAGUCCGUAUAAAACCAUAUGCUUUGAUCACCUCAUUAAAGCGUAUAUUCCAACUCCGAGAUGCUUGCACCAGUCCAUAAAUGGAUUGCUGGAGCUUGCACACUUUGUUAGCACCUUUAGGAUUGACAAAACCUUCUAGUUGCAUCAUAUACAACUCUUCUUUAAGAAAUCCAUUAAGGAAUGCAGUUUUGACGUCCAUUUGCUAGAUUUCAUAAUCACAAAAUGUGGCAAUUGCUAACAUGAUUCAGACAGACUUAAGCAUUGCUACAGGUGAGAAGGUCUCUGUCGGUGUCAAAACCGGUGGAUCUCGGGCAGGGGGUCCCGAACUGUGCGUCUAAGGCGGAUGGUAAUAGGAGGCAGGGGACACGAUGUUUUACCCAGGUUCGGGCCCUCUUGAUGGAGGUAAAACCCUACGUCCUGCUUGAUUUAUUCUUGAUGAUAUGAGUAUUACAAGAGUUGAUCUACCACGAGAUCGGAGAGGCUAAACCCUAGAAGCUAGCCUAUGGUAUGAUAGUAUGUUGUCCUAUGGACUAAAACCCUCCGGUUUAUAUAGACACCGGAGGGGGUUAGGGUUACACAAGGUCGGUUUACAAAGGAGGAGAUAUCCAUAUCCGUACUGCCUAGCUUGCCUUCAAUGCCAAGUAGAGUCCCAUCCGGACAUGAGACGAAGUCUUCAAUCUUGUAUCUUCAUAUUCCAACAGUCCGGCCAAAGGAUAUAGUCCGGCUGUCCGGAGACCCCCUAAUCCAGGACUCCCUUAGUAGCCCCUGAACUAGGCUUCAAUGACGAUGAGUCCGACGCGCAGUGUUGUCUUCAGCAUUGCAAGGCGGGUUCCUCCUCCGGAUACACCACAGAAGAGUUUGAAUGAAAGGAUAGUGUCCGACCCUGCAAAGUAAGUCCAACAUACCACCGUAGAGAGAAUAAUAUUUCCACAAAUCUAAUCUGCUGACAUGUUUUUGCAACAUGACAUCAUGCCAUGGCUCAGCGAUUAUUCGAACCAUUUUUCUUUAACCAGCCCCACACAUAACGCGAGGCGGUUUCUUGACACGUCUUGUCAAAGCAGAGAUCGUGUCCCCCUUAUUACGGGAUUCUCAUCAAUACGGGUGUGGGUAACCCAAUCGCGCCAUCAAUUGCGGCUUUUGGGGGAUAAGAGAGUUUCACCAGGCUAGUGGGGGAGCAUAGUUUCGUCCGUCCUUAUAAAGGGAUAAGGUUUUACCUUUUUCUACCCACGCCUUCUUCCUCCUUGCUCAUCCAUUCUCGCGCACUCGAGCUCCAACGACCAAGUCCACAUCCUUCUCCUCAACCUUCCCCAAACAUGUCCGGAGCUGGAGGCAAGUGAAUGGCUUCCUCCGUUACGGAGGGACACAUCAAAAAGUUGCGCGGAGCCGGAUACUUAUCCGCGAAUAUCGCGCAUCGGCUGCCCGCUGCGAGGCAGAUCGUCCCCACCCCGGAACCUGACGAGAGGGUAGUCUUCCUCCACCACUUCCUCCGCGGACUGGGGUUUCCCCUCCAUUCAUUCGUAUGUGGUCUUAUGUUCUACUACGGGCUGGACUUUCAUGAUCUGGCCCCGAACUUCAUCCUCAACAUUUCGGCGUUCAUCGUCGUGCGUGAGGCUUUCCUCCGCAUCCGGCCCCACUUCGGCCUAUGGCUGAAGACCUUCAAUAUCAAGCCGAAGGUGGUGGGAGGCCAACAAGCAGAAUGCGGCAGAGCCAUGGUGGGCAAGAUGCCCAAUGUUAUAUGGCUCGAAGGCUCCUUCGUGGAGACCAUAAAGGGAUGGCAAUCAGCAUGGUUCUACAUCACCGAGCCGCGUGACACCAACUGGGUGGUGGCCCCCAAGUUUCGAUCUGGAAUCCCCACACGGCUCACCUCCUGGAAAGAGAAGGGCCUGUCCUGGGGUUCAUCGGUGGAGCUGGAUGGACUCCAGAAAUGUAUCUGGAAUAUGGCAAGCAAGAAGCUCAAGCUUGUCAACAUAGUCCAGGUCAUGCUCAUCCGCCGGAUCCUCCCAUGUCAACAACGGGAUUUUAAUUUAUGGGAGUUUGACCCGGCCCAACACCAGACUCUAAGCGAGCUCUUCGACACGACGCACAAGGACGUCUGGAGGGUGCUGUUCAGGGGCGUCGAGGUCCCUGCUUCUCUUACCGAGGACCGCGGGCUAAGCGCAAAGCGCCUAGCGCAUUCGAUGAGUUCUAUACAUCCCGUAGGAUAUUUAUUUCCCCUAGCUUAACCAUGUGCGGGGUCUGAGGUCCAUUCCUUUGACAAGACUGGGUGGAGACGUCAGGGCAGAUUAACUGUCCGACCCCUCUGCCCGAAGACACUGCAGACACUCUCCUGACAGAGACGCUGACUCCGGCUCCUUACAAGGUGCCGGAGAAGACCAAGAAGGCCAAGGGAACCCGAAAGCCAGGUGGUAUCGGACUCAUCGUCCGAUGACUCCGUGACGCACUCCUCCCCCGAAGACNNNNNNNNNNNNNNNNNNNNNNNNNNNNNNNNNNNNNNNNNNNNNNNNNNNNNNNNNNNNNNNNNNNNNNNNNNNNNNNNNNNNNNNNNNNNNNNNNNNNNNNNNNNNNNNNNNNNNNNNNNNNNNNNNNNNNNNNNNNNNNNNNNNNNNNNNNNNNNNNNNNNNNNNNNNNNNNNNNNNNNNNNNNNNNNNNNNNNNNNNNNNNNNNNNNNNNNNNNNNNNNNNNNNNNNNNNNNNNNNNNNNNNNNNNNNNNNUCCGGACUACUCCACCACCGCCGCCGAAGGCGAAGACGAGUGGCUGCUCAGGGCCAAGCCCCUGGCGAAGUCGUAAGUAUUCGGAUACCAGAGUAACUCAUAGCAUACCUUUGUCGCACUGCUUCUCCUAAUGGCGAAUUAUGAUUAUGCAGACCGCCUCGAGCCCGUAUCGACGUAUCCUCGUCGGACGGCUCCCUAGAAUCGUCUGAUAUGGAUAGCGAUCCACUUCCGACCGCCACCUCCCCUUGCCCUACGGACAACACCGAGGUGUUGUCUCAAGAGGCACCGGGUCGAGGGGAGACAGUCCCAGAGGCGCCUCAAGGCGACCUUCCGGACUCCGGGAGCAGAGGGAGCAAGGCUCCCGAGGGCUCCGAGUUCGGCCCUCAGCCGAACACCACGCCGGAACCUCCAGUGGUUCCGGACUCGGGUAGGCGGCCUCCUUCCAAAAGGGGCAAGACGCCUAUGCCGGUGACCUCUGUCCAUCUAGAGGCACCGGACAAUCUGUCGGGAGCGCUUCGCAGCGCUUCCAUCGACAAAGAGCACCACACUAUUAUGAGUGCGAUGAUCCAGAAGGUUCAGUCUGCCAAGAGCGGACUGACUGAAGCCUGUGCCAGCCUUCUAACUGCCUUUGAGGUAAGUAUUUGAAAUAUAGGAAAAAUAUUACCGCAUAGACAGUAGCCCCUGAUGCUCUGUUUGGUGUUCAAAAAGAAAAGCCGAAUAGAGGAUCAACUAAUAUCUACAGGAGUCUAAUAUAAGUAUGUCUAUAUGCAUAUGCAGGCUUCACUGCUGACCUGUGCCGCACUGACUGCGGAGGUCGCCGUACUGAAGCAGGACCUCGAAGGGUCCAAGAAAGAGCUCGGCCUUGCCAAGAGGCAGCUCGAGGAGAACAAAGGUAAGUAAUACCUAGUCUAUAAAUGUGUAUAUAUACAAAAAGGAUGCGAUUGCAAAAUGAUAGGAUCAUCUUUAAUUUGCCAGGGGCCACGACUGAAGUGGCAACCCUAAAGCAAGCGCUAUCCGAGGCCAAAAACAAAGAAGCCCAGGAGCGCACCGAGCAGGAAAAACAAGAGGCACGACUGGGCGAGGUGCAGCAAGAGCUCCACGCUCUCGUGACGAAGCACGAGGCGUUGGAGCUUGACUUGAAGACGCGAGAGGCCGAGCUCGCCGCGGCCAUUGAGAGUGCAAAGAGUCCAAGGCCGAAGCCCAAAAGGCUCCAGGAGAUUGAUGCGAUCAAGAAGAUAGCGUCGGGUAAGGCAUUCUAUAUGCAAAGCAAGCAUGUGAAAGUAAAUUACUUGUUACUUACCCGAAUCCGGAGCUCUCCAGGAGCGUUCACAGAUUUGCCCUGCAGCAUGUCGGAUGCCGCACAGUUUUACCAGGCCGAGGAGGGAAGCUCAACGGAGAAGCUGUUCUGGUCUCAGUAUACUGGGACCGAACACCCGAUGCCUCUGAGCGACCAGCUGAAGCAACUGGUCGAGCUACACAAGGCGGCCGAACAAGCCAUGAAGGGCUUUAUAGUCCGGAUGUGGCCUGGUGACGCCCUUCCCAACAACUACUUUGGCCUGGUGAGGCGUCUUGUGGAUGCCUGUCCACGGCUGGUAGUCAUUAAGCGGUCCAUCUGUAUCGACGGUGCACGUCGGGCUUUCGCCCGUGUCAAGGUGCAAUGGGCCAAGAUGGACGCCGUGAAGCUGGUGAAGGAAGGGCCGCCGGUGGGCAAGGAGCAUCACCACCCCGAGAUGUACUAUGAGGGUGUCCUGAAGGGUGCCCGUCUCGUAGCGGACGAGUGUGCGGAAGAUGUAAUAUUUGAGUAAACUUUCUCGUAUAAUCCUGUAUUAUGAAAACUUGUUCAUAUGCGCUAUGCAACGCUUGUUUGAAUUUAAAAUAUUACCUUCUGUUCGGCUGUUUAUCAAAUCUUAGAGAUGGCUAGUCGUCGGCUUCUGCCCCCAUGCCACGAGUGCUGGGGUGUUCGGGAUAAACCUGAGCACUCUUGUUCCCAUUUUUGGGUCCUUCGAGGGAGGUGCUCAGCACAACAAACAAGGCAAUCAGACUAUAAUGCGUUAUCACUCUCACUUAGCCAUAGAAUUCUAUAAUUUUAAAUUUCGGUGAAGCCCCUAGUAUUCGGAAGGCCGAAUUCGGGGCGCUAUACACGCCUUAAGCCGGACAGGGCCGACUCCUCGCUCUAAGCGGCAUAAGUCUUUAGGGACUUGAAACCUCUCGAACAGCGACCAGUCUCUCGCCUUAUCAUGACAGUCAGUUUUAGCUUUCUCUACUGAGGUGCUUAGCCCAGCAGAACCGGGGCACAAUCGCAGUAGUUCUCCUAGUUCUACCUUAGCCGAUAUAGCGGACCGUAAGGUACCAAAACAUGGGAGCCGGGCAAACCCAACUAUUGACCCAAGACAUGAUUUAGAGCUGAUGCAUAUAAUGCUAUAAGUUCGGGGUGCCGCACAAUCAAAAGUGUUCAGACUUCUCACACCGUAUUAUGGGGUAUGCUUAAGCCCCUAGCGUAUUGGCCGUACCAGAGUGUACGGGUGCUAGAUGUCAUGAAUGAACGUAGCUUUCUGCAUUGUUUAUUCAAAAAGGUUCAUUAAAGCAGAAUGAUACAGGUAGUGCGAUAAGCAAAAAGUAGGACUAUGUCCCCUCCAAGGGCAAGCUGAGGAAUAGUAUUAAAGCAAGUAUUUCACUCAUUAUCGUAAUCCACCUGGGAGUUCCGUGGUGUGACGUAGCUUUCUGCCUCCUUGGUUGCUGCAUCAUGUGUUCGACAAUCAUGCUGCCGGACAGGGUUUCUAGAGAUUAACGUCUUGAAAGAGAAAAAUAACAAAGCGGGAAGCCCCUAGUGCGGUUUAAGCCGCGUCUUGGAGCGUGCCACAGUCAUGCCCCCUCCCCAACUAUGCCCAUGGUAUUUUUAAUGCGUAAUUAUGUACGCGUGGCACGGAUUUCGCCGUUGGCUGGGACCGGGGUGGGGGCCGCAUUGCUAUGCGAGCUCGGAACAUGCCAGGCGGUCCCGUUGCCGAUUACUCCGGGUGCGCUUGAAGUUGUCCGGGUCCUUAAUCGCCGAACUAGUGGAUUGCCUUAAGAGGCUGCUUUGCGCUUCUGCUGUGAGGGCCACAAUGUGCUCCUCCGUUCGAAGAGAGUGCUCUGUGUUUCCAUUAACUGUAAUGACCCCCCGAGGUCCUGGCAUCUUGAGCUUGAGGUAUGCAUAAUGCGGUACCGCAUUGAAUCUCGCAAAUGCGGUUCGCCCGAGCAGUGCAUGAUAGCCACUGCGGAACGAGACUAUAUCGAAGAUUAACUCUUCGCUUCGAAAGUUAUCCGGGGAUCCGAAGACCACUUCCAGUGUGACUGAGCCUGUGCAAUGGGCCUCUACACCUGGUAUGACGCCUUUAAAGGUCGUUUUUGUGGGUUUGAUCCUUGAGGGGUCUAUACCCAUUUUGCGCACUGUGUCCUAAUAAAGCAGGUUCAGGCUGCUGCCGCCAUCCAUAAGGACUCGAGUGAGGUGAAAUCUGUCAAUGAUUGGGUCUAGGACCAGUGUGGCGAAUCCGCCAUGACGGAUACUAGUGGGGUGGUCCCUGCGAUCGAAGGUGAUCGGACAGGAGGACCAUGGGUUGAACUUUGGGGCGACUAGCUCCAACGCAUAUACGUCCCUGAGCGCAUGCUUCCGCUCCCUCUUGGGGAUGUGGGUUGCGUAUAUCAUGUUCACCGUCCGCACCUGUGGGGGGAACCUCUUCUGUCCUUCGGUGUUCGGCUGCCGGGGCUCCUUCUCGUCAUUGCUAUGUGAUCCCUUAUCUUUGUUUUCGGCAUUAAACUUGUCGGCCUGCUUGAACACCCAACAAUCCCUGUUGGUGUGGUUGGCUGGCUUGUCGGGGGUGCCGUGUAUUUGGCACGAGCGAUCAAGUAUACGGUCCAAACUGAACGGGCCCGGAGUGCUUCUUUUGAAUGGCUUUUUCCGCUGACCGGGUUUAGAGCCUUUGAAUCCGGCAUUGACUGUCGUAUCCUCGGUAUUGUCGUUGUUAAUGCGGCGCUUAUGUUUGUUGCUACAUGACCUGCCAUUGUCGUCCUUGGUAUUCGAAGUACCAUGUUUCUUUGAUAUGUUAUUGCUGCGAGCCAACCAACUGUCCUCUCCUGCACAAAAGCGGGUCAUGAGUGUCGUGAGGGCUGCCAUAGAUUUCGGCUUUUCCUGACCAAGGUGCCGGGCGAGCCACUCAUCGCGGAUGUUGUGCUUAAAAGCUGCUAGGGCCUCUGCAUCCGGACAGUCGAUGAUUUGAUUUUUCUUUGUUAGGAACCGUGUCCAGAAUUGCCUGGCCGAUUCCUCUGGCUGCUGAAUUAUGUGGCUUAAGUCAUCGACAUCUGGUGGUCGCACAUAAGUGCCCUGAAAGUUGUCGUCGAAUGCGACUUCCAGAUCUUCCCAACAACCAAUGGACUCUACUGGCAAGCUGUUGAGCCAAUGUCGAGCUGGUCCUUUGAGUUUGAGUGGGAGGUAUUUGAUUGCGUGUAGGUCAUCACCGCGGGCCAUGUGAAUGUGCAGGAGGAAAUCCUCGAUCCAUACCGCGGGAUCUGUUGUGCUGUCGUAUGAUUCUUUAUUUAUGGGUUUGAAACCCUCUGGGAUUUGAUGAUCCAUUACUUCGUCUGUGAAGCAUAAGGGGUGUGCGACACCUCUGUACUGGGCUAUAUCGCGACGCAGCUCAAAUGAGUCUUGCCCGCUGUGUUCGGCCCGGUCGGACUUACUUUUACUGUAUCCAGCGUGACGAUUAUCGUCUCGCAUAGUGGCGCGCCCUCGUGAUCCGUAGAUCGAUCUUGCAUGUUUUGCUUUGUCCUCCAAUACAUCUCGCAGGUCUGGCGUAUUUCCCCAUACCUUUUUAUUUGAAUUGCAUCGGGGUGCGGGUUGAGCUUUUGGCUGGAAUGCCUCUUUGUCGCGGCCACGAGGUGGCCGAUCAGCCGCGUCAUACGCCGGGGAUGUAGGUUUUGGUGCUUCCUCCUCCAGUCGGGGUAGCAACCUGCAUUUUUGGUAACUCUUGGAGGGGCGUUCGAGUUUAUAUUCCUCGGCCGCAAGGACUUCAGUCCAUGUGUCCGCUAGCAAAUCUUGAUCAGCUUGAAGCUGCUGCUGCUUUUUCUUAAGGCUAUUUGCCGUGGCUAUAAGCCGGCGCUUGAAGUGCUCUUGUUCGAUGGGAUCCUCUGGCACGACGAAUUCGUCAUCAUCGAGGCUUGCCUCGUCUUUGGAGGGAGGCAUGUAAUUAUCAUCCUCCGCCUCUCCAUCUGCCGCUCUAUUAGGAGGGCUGGCUUCUCCAUCCUCCUGCUCUAAAUCUUGCUAGAGGGGAUUGUUGUUGUCUUCGGCACUGUCCGGAGUGCUAUCAUCUCCUGUGCCGGUAUCGCCACUUUUGCCUUGGAGGGACUUAGAGUGGCGCUGCUGACGUCGGCGCUUGGGUUGCUUCUUGGAGGGGUCAUCCUCUGUUGUCUCGUCGCCAUUGCCUUCUUUGGGUGUGUCCACCAUUUAUAUAUCGUAUGAUGAGGUGGCUGUCCAAUGCCCUGUGGCCAGUGGUUCCACUUCGUCUCCCGCAUUGUCGUCCAUACCGUAGAUGUCUUCGUAUUCGAAGUCGAGCAUGUCGGUUAAGUCAUCGAUAGUGGCUACUAAGUGGGUGGUGGGUGGGCGGCGAAUUUCUUCGUCAUCCGCAUCCCAAUCCUGCCGGACAUAGUUCGGCCAGGAUCCUCCUGACAAGGAGAGAGACCUUAAUGAGUUCAGUAUGUCGCCGAAGGGCGAGUGCUGAAAAUAUCCAUGGAGGUAAACUCCAUGAUCGGCGCCCACUCGGAUUCGAUGGGAACGGGCGCAGGCGGUUCGGAGUCUGUGGCCGGAGAAGGAUCCGACAGUUUGACAACACGGCUCUCGUGAAGGGUAAGGUCAAUAUUCGGCUCGAUCGCCGCUGAGGAUACGACCUCCGUGACGAGGUCUAUCCACCCGUCCAUGGAUGGCGCAACUGGCUCCGAAUUGAGGCUCGGAGCGGCUGCCAGUGCGAUCUCCUGAAUACGGUCCGAUGGCAGAGCUAAAUCGUACUCAUCGUGACCGCGUGGCGCACAAGGCAGGGGAUCGAAUCCGUCGAAGAUCAAGUCUCCGCGGACAUUGGCUGUGUAAUUUAAGCUUCCAAACCUGACCUGGUGGCCAGGGGCGUAACUUUCGAUCUGAUCCAGAUGGCCAAGCGAGUUGGCCCACAGUGCGAAGCCGCCGAACACAAAGAUUUGUCCGGGGAGAAAAGUCUCACCCUGGACUGCAUCGCUAUCGAUGAUAGUAGGAGCCAUCAAGCCUAACGGCGACGACACAGAGGAACUCUCAAUGAAAGCACCAAUGUCGGUGUCAAAACCGGCGGAUCUCGGGUAGGGGGUCCCGAACUGUGCGUCUAAGGCGGAUGGUAACAGGAGGCAGGGGACACAAUGUUUUACCCAGGUUCGGGCCCUCUUGAUGGAGGUAAAACCCUAUGUCCUGCUUGAUUUAUUCUUGAUGAUAUGAGUAUUACAAGAGUUGAUCUACCACAAGAUCGGAGAGGCUAAACCCUAGAAGCUAGCCUAUGGUAUGAUUGUAUGUUGUCCUACGGACUAAAACCCUCUGGAUAGACACCGGAGGGGGUUAGGGUUACACAAGGUCGGUUUACAAAGGAGGAGAUAUCCAUAUCCGUACUACCUAGCUUGCCUUCCAUGCAAAGUAGAGUCCCAUCUGGACAGGAGACGGAGUCUUCAAUCUUGUAUCUUCAUAGUCCAACAGUCCGGCCAAAGGAUAUAGUCCGGCUGUCCGGAGACCCCCUAAUCCAGGACUCCCUCAGUCUCAUCAUAGUCAACUCCUUGAAGUUGUCGAAAACCUUUCGAAACAAGUUGAGCUUUGUAGACAGUAACAUUAACAUCAAUGUCAGUCUUCUUGAAGAUCCAUUUAUUCUCUAUGGCUCACUGAUCAUCGGGCAAGUCAACCAAAGUCCACACUUUGUUCUCAUACAUGGAUCCUAUCUCAGAUUUCAUGGCUUCAAGCCAUUUAUCGGAAUCUGGGCUCAUCAUCGCUUCUUCAUAAUUCGUAGGUUUGUCAUGGUCUAGUAACAUUGACUUCCAGAACAGGAUUACCGUGCCACUCUGGUGCAGAACAUGCUCUGGUUGACCUACGAGGUUCGGUAGUAACUUGAUCUGAAGUUUCAUGAUCAUUAUCAUUAGCUUCCUCUCUAGUUAGUGUAGGCAUCACUGGAACGGUUUUCUAUGAUGAGCUACUUUCCAAUUCCAUAGAAGGUACAAUUACCUCAUCAAGUUCUACUUUCCUCCCACUCACUUCUUUCGAGAGAAACUCCUUCUCUAGAAAGGAUCCAUUCUUAGCAACAAAGAUCUUGCCUUCAGAUCUGUUAUAGAAGGUGUACCCAAUAAUUUCUUUUGGGUAUCCUAUGAAGACGCACUUCUUUGAUUUGGGUUCGAGCUUAUCAGGCUGAAGCUUUUUCACAUAAGCAUCACAACCCCAAACUUUUAGAAACGAUAGCUUAGAUUUUUUGCUAAACCAUAGUUCAUACGGUGUCAUCCCAACGGAUUUAGACGGUGCCCUAUUUAAAUGAAUGUAGUUGUCUCUAAUGCAUAACCCCAAAAUGAUAGUGGUAAAUUGGUAAGAGACAUCAUAGAUCGCACCGUAUCUAAUAAAGUGUGGUUACGACAUUCGAACAUACCAUUACGCUGUGGCGUUCCAGGUGGCGUGAGUUGUGAAACUAUUCCACAUUGUUUUAAGUGAAGGCCAAACUCGUAACUCAAAUAUUCGCCUCCGUGAUCAGAUCAUAGAAACUUUAUUUUCUUGUUAGGAUGAUUCUCCACUUCACUCAGAAAUUCUUCGAACUUUUCAAAUGUUUGAGACUUGUGUUUCAUUAAGCAGAUAUACCCAUAUCUGCUCAAAUCAUCCGUGAAGGUCAGAAAAUAACGAUACCUGCCACGAGCCUCAACACUCAUCGUACCGCAUACACCAGUAUAUAUUAUUUUCCAUAAGUCAUUAGUUCGCUCCAUUCUUCCGAAGAACGGAGUUUUAGUCAUCUUUCCCAUGAGGCAUGGUUCGCAAGUAUCAAAUGAUUCGUAAUCAAGUGAUUCCGAAAGCCCAUCUGCAUGGAUUUUCUUCAUGCGCUUUACACUAAUAUGACCUAAACGGUAGUGCCACAAAUAUGUUGCACUAUCAUUAUCAACUUUGCAUCUUUUGGCAUCAAUAUUAUGAAUAUUUGUAAUACCACAUUCGAGAUUCAAUAAACCAUUUACAUUGGGUGUAUGACCAUAGAAGGUUUUAUUUAUGUAAACAGAACAACAAUUAUUUUUUGACUUAAAUGAAUAACCGUAUCGCAAUAAACACGAUCCAUUCAUAUUCAUGCUCAACGCAAACACCAAAUAACAUUUAUUUAGGUCCAACACUAACCCCGAAGGUAGUGGGAGUGUUCGAUGGUGAUCUUAUCAACCUUGGAAUCACUUCCAACACACAUUGUCACCUCGCCUUUAACUAGUCUCUGUUCAUUUUGUAACUCCUGUUUCGAGUUACUAAUCUUAGCAACUAAACCGGUAUCAAAUACCCUAGGGUUACUAUGCACACCUAUAAAGUACACAUCAAUAACAUGUAUAUCAAAUAUAAUUUUGUUUACUUUCCCAUCCUUCUUAUCCGCCAAGUAUUUGGGGUAGUUCCGCUUCCAGUGACCAUUCCCUUUGUAGUAUAAGCACUCAGUUUUAGGCUUAGGUCUAGCUUUUGGGCUUCUUCACAGGAGUGGAAACUUGCUUUCCAUUGUUCUUGAAGUUCCCUCUCUUUCCUUUUUCCCUUUUUCUUGAAACUAGUGGUCUUGUCAACCAUCAGCACUUGAUGCUUUUUCUUGAUUUCUACCUUCGCCGACUUCAGCAUCGCGAAGAGCUGGGAAUCAUUUUCGUCACCCCUUGCAUAUUGUAGUUCAUCACGAAGUUCUAGUAGCUUGGUGAUAGUGACUAGAGAAUUCUGUCAAUCACUAUCUUAUCUGGAAGAUUAACUCCCACUUGAUUCAAGUGAUUGUAGUACCCAGACAUUCUGAGCACAUGCUCACUGGUUGAGCUAUUCUCCUCCAUCUGUAGGCAAAGUACUUGUCAGAGGUCUCAUACCUGUCGACACGGGCAUGAGUUUGAAAUAUCAAUUUCAGCUCUUGGAACAUCUCAUAUGCUCUGUGGUGUUCAAAACAUUUUUGAAGUCCCGGUUCUAAGUCGUAUAGUAUGGUGCACUAAAUUAUCAAGUAGUCAUCAUACCGAACUUGUCAAACGUUCAUAACGUAUGCAUCUGCUCCCGCAAUAGGUCUGUCACCUAGCGGUGCAUCAAGGACACAAUUAUUCUAUGCAGCAACGAGGAUAAUCCUUAGUGUGACGCCCGAAUAUUUAAGCUACAGUAACCCUCUAGUAAUGACACCACAUCACCAUGAUUACUGUUGAUAAAUUCGCAUUGAUUCAAACCCCGUUCAAAUUCAAUUUUAAAAUCAAGUCAAACUUUAAAAGUUUUCAAAUGUCAAAACUAAAAUGUUCAUCAUGUGGAAAAAUAAUUCCUAACUAAUUUUGGUGAUGGAACCAAUAUUUUUAUAAAGUGGUUUAAUGCCCUAAACUAAUUAAAUGGGGUCCAAGUUAAUAUUUUGUGGCCUUUUAUUUUAAGUAUUUUCCAAAUUGUUUUAGGUACCCCCCAAAGCUUUUGUGACAGUGCCUAACAGUACAACACUAAUUUUGGACCAAGUUCCAUUUUGUGCAAAAGUCAACUGCUAUUUUAAAAAUAAAUGCAGACAAUAAUAGAAAAACUAAAACAGAAAAGAAAAAUUGAAAAUAAAAGAAAUACACUAUGCACUUACCCGGCCCAGCACAUCCAAUGCUAGGCCCAGCCCACCGCUCCAGCCGUUGUCUUCUCCAUCACCGUGGUAGCAUCGUGCGCGCCCGCGGCCGAUGCCGCUGACGGAUCAAUGCCAUCGAGGCUACAGGGCGCUAGAGGGGGGGAUAAAAGCCGUCCCAGUGCCCACUGGAACCCUAGCUCCCCCCACUUUCCCUUUCCCUCAUCCGCUCUCUCCUCUGCACGAGUCGGAAGCACUGCCACCAUGGUCUCCGUCGACCCCGCGGCCACUGAGCCCCGUUCGCCUCCCCGAUGUUCUCAUCGGCUUCCUUGUCGUCGUCCACAUUGCCUACGCCAUCGGGGUCGAGCCAAGCGCCUCUCCUCUGACUGGAACGCACUCGUCUUCAACCUUCGGAUUUCCGGCGUUUGUCACCAAUUUCGGCUAUCUCACGCCCUCCCCGAGCUCGCUACCACUCCCUACAGCUUUGCUAUGAGCCCUCGCUCCUCCUCGACCUACCCUUACUCCUUCCCGUGCCAUGUAGGCUAGUACCCAUAUAGCACUGCCGUCAUCGCCGUCUGACGUCGCCGUCCCGUUCACUUCUGCCCGUCCUAGCUCGCGCCCGUGCCAUCUACGGACGCAAUGUGGUGCCCUCGUUCAAAUGGCUCGAACUGCUGCUUGUUUUGGUCCCUAUCAUGGAAUUGUCACGGCAGAUGUCCUAGUAAAAUGACUUAAUCAUGGAGCCAUCGCAACUAGGAAGCUUAAAGGGGUUUAACGGGUCAAAGGACACGAGAGGUUUAUACUGGUUCGGUCCCUUGCGGUGAAGGUAAAGGCCUAGUCCAGUUGAUAUGGUAUUGCUAGGUUUCAAUGACCAAGGAGCGAAUACACUUAACCUGGCUCUCGAUCUGUUGUUUCUUGUCCUAAGCCACCGCCGGGUGUUGAAGCAUGCCUCCACAUGGUGCCCGAACGUCUCCCUCGUGACGCUAGCCAGGUCAGAGGCCCUCCAGAGGAGAGCCCCUGAGCCCAGCCUGAGAGGGGCGCCGGGCAUGCCUUCCUAUGCGAGAGGGGAAGGUGCCCCAUCUAUGGGCGCAGGUCCUGAGGCAGGGCCACCAGAAACUCCACCCUCCUAAGGUCCUUGGAGGAGCAGCAACUUCUUAUUCUUGUUGGGGAUAGCCUCAGGAGGGUAGACAACACCCUCAUCAUCUGGGUCCUUGACAGCCGCAGCCUGGUAGGCGCUCUCGAGAGAGCACACCGCGUCCUUCUUGUCACAGGCGACCGUGAUGAUGCCACAGCUCCCUGGCAUCUUGACGACAUUGUAGCCAUGAUGAGUCGCAGCCAGGAACUUGGCCAGGGCCAGAUACCCUAGGAUGGCGUUGUACAGGGGGCGAAUGUGAUCAACGUCGAAGUCGAUGAGCUCAGUGCGGUAGUUGUCGCGCUUGCCGAAGGUGACAGGGAGGCGGAUCUGCCCUAUCGGGGUGGUGGAGCCGUUGGUCACUCCUGAGAAAGGCUUGGUAGGGUGAAGCUGGUCAUAGGGCACCUGGAGCCUGUCGAACGUCUCGACAGGGAGUACAUUGAGCCCCGCGCCGCCAUCGAUGAGUGUCUUGGUGACGAGGACGUUGCUAAUGGUAGGCGAGCAGAGCAUCGGGAGGGGGCCGACAGUUGCCGCGCACUUGAGCUGGUCUGUAGAGUCGAAGGUGAUGGCAUAAUUGGACCACCUGAGUGGACGCGUCGCCUCGAGCUUGGGGAGGGCCGCAUUCACCUCACGAGCGAACUGCUUGAAGAUGCGAUGAGAGGCAGGAGCCUGAGUGCCACCUAGGAUGUAAGCGAUGGCACGAGGCUCUUGGAAGCCCCCAACUCCGUCGUCUUGGUGGUGGUCAUCAGUCCUUCUUGGCAGUGGCGGCAACGGAGGGAGGCCAGCGUUGCCCUGUGGGCGAUCCUCACGAGGCUGGUCCCUCCAGGCGCCCUCGCGAGGCUGGCCCUCCCAGCAGUCCUCAGGAGGCUGAUCGCACCAGUCCUGGCAGGGGUCAUGGUUGUCCCAGCGUCCUCCGCCUCGGCCUCCUCCACGGCCAUAGCCUCGGUCGUUGCACUCUGGGCAGCGACCAAGGCGCCCAUCAUAGAUGGCCCUGAUCUCCUGGCAGUCAUUGGUGUUGUGGCUGUGCACGUUGUGGAAGACACAGAAUGGGCGGUUGUCCUUGGAUGAUUCUGGGUGGUCGCAAUCGCGCUUCAUCUCUGGCUUGGCCGCGAGCACGGCUGGCCCCUUGUGCUUCACAUCCUUGGCCUUGGUCUUCUUGUCCUCUGGGUCGACCUCCGGAAGCUCCAGGAGAGAAAGGCAACCUUCUUCAGCUCUCGCACACUUGGUUGCCAUGUUGAACAUCUCUAGGGCCGUGCACAGGUCCUCGUGUAUGGAGAGCUCCUCCGUCAUCUUGAUGUCGUGGACGCCAUCAUUGAACGCCGAGUUGAUGGCCUCAUCUAACACCUUGGAGAUCUUGAGGCAGACGUUGUUGAAGUGUUGGAUGUAUUUGUGCAAGGUCUCUCCUGGCUGCUGCUUGAUGCACCGCAGGUAACCCACAGUUGAUGGGUGGUCACGAGUGCCCUAGAAGUUGGCGAUGAAGCGUUCUCGCAUCUUAUCCUAGGAGGUGAUCGAACCCGCAGGGAGGUUCAGGAGCGAUGAGCGCGUGCCAUCCUUGAGGGCCAUGGGAAACCACUUUGCCAUGACUUUCUCGUCGCCGCUGGCCGGCUCGAUGCUCAGCUCGUAGAGCUGCAGGAACUCGGCAGGGUCAGUGGUGCCGUCAUAGCGCGGAGGCAGGUCUGGCUUGAACUUCCCUGACCAGAUGAUGCGGCGUAGGUCCGGAGUGAACGCGCGACAUUCCACCGUGGUCACUGGGGCCCUCCAUGGAGGUGGAGCCUGAUCUUGGCGCUCGCGCACCACCGCUUCAGGCGGCACACGGUCUUGACAUGGCAGUGUAGGGAGCGCACGCGCCUCUCCUUGCGGCCGCUGCACCACUUGGCAGCUCUCCUCAUCGCGCGCUAGCACCCUACACAGUGGGUCGUGCCGUGAGGCUUCACACCUUCGCUCGGGGACGACGUCUUGCCUGGGAGGUGGAGGAGGCACACCAUGGGCCACGUCACCCGCAAGAGGCGGCGUGGGAGGCAGCGAGUGGGACAGUGCAGGGGCCUCUUCGGCGGCGCUGAUGAGCUCGGUGAUGCGGUCCAGCCAGUUCUCGUAGAGGUCAUCAGCCAGUAGUUACCGCAGGAGCUCGCGUGCCAUGAGCAACGCAGCCCGCGCGUUCCCCGGCCCUCGGUUGGCGUGAGACGAUGAAGCGGCCGUCGGAGUCAGCGACGAAGUGGCGGUGCGCCCAUCACGCCGCAUACAAGGCUGCAUCGAUGAAGUAUGCUGCUCGUGGGCCGCGGGGACGGUGGCGGCGUUGGCCGCCGGCGACGGGGAAUGGCGGGGAGCGCCGUCGCCUACACACGCCGUCUGGGCGACACGCGCGGCGAGGGCAGCCUGGAGCUUAGCACGAACCCGACGAGCAUCGGCCAUGGGAACGGCGAAAUAGUGGUGAAUCAACUGGAGGAAGAGAGGCUCCGACGCACCCCUACCUGGCACGUGAAAUGUCAGAUUUUGGGAUCUGUAGACCCUGGAUAGAUUCAAACUUUGGGCUGCGUGUAGAGAACUCAACUCCCCAGCCUGCCUACUCGUCACACUCAUGGCCUAGCUCGACGAAAUGUAAUGAAAUGGGACAAGACAGUUUACCUAGGUUCGGGCCACCUUGCAGUGUAAAACCCUACACCUGCUUUGUGUUGGAUUAGCCUCGAGGUGGGCUGAGGAUGAACUAGUACAGCGGGAGAACAACCUUAGGAAGUGUGUUCUUGAGCUGGUGAGGGAGAGGAUGAUCUGAAUGAUCCGCCCCCCUUGUAUGGUGGUGGCUAGGCUAUACUUAUAGUGGCCUUGGUCCCGUUCCCCCAAAAUGUAGGCGGGAAGGGAUCCCACAAUGGCCAAAUUUGAAGGAAGACAACUAGUACAUCUUAUCCUGACGAAAGGUGGUCUUCGCCUGCGAAGCUUCUGGUCAUGACACCAUGGUGGGCUCGGUGAUGACCUCCGUCCCCCCGUCCUGGCAGUCCUGGUGUCGGUGUCAAAACCGGCGGAUCUCGGGUAGAGGGUCCCGAACUGUGCGUCUAAGGCCGGUGGUAACAGGAGGCGGGGGACACAAUGUUUACCUAGGUUUGGGCCCUCUCGAUGGAGGUAAUACCCUACUUCCUGCUUGAUUGAUGUUGAUGAUAUGAGUAUUACAAGAGUUGAUCUACCACGAGAUCAUAGAGGCUAAACCCUAGAAGUUAGCCUAUGAUUAUGAUUGUUGUUGUCCUACGGACUAAACCCUCCGGUUUAUAUAGACACCAGAGGGGUCUAGGGUUACACAGAGUCGGUUACAAGGGAGGAGAUCUACAUAUCCGAAUUGCCAAGCUUGCCUUCCAUGCAAAGUAGAGUCCCACCCACACAUGGGACGAAGUCUUCAAUCUUGUAUCUUCAUAGUCCAACAGUCUGACCAAAGUAUAUAGUCCGGCUGUCCGAGGACCCCCUAAUCCAGGACUCCCUCAGUAGCCCCUGAACCAGGCUUCAAUGACGAUGAGUCCGGCGCGCAGAUUGUCUUCGGCAUUGCAAGGCGGGUUCCUUCUUCGAAUACUCCAUAGAAGAUUUUGAACACAAGGAUUGUGUCCGACUCUGUAAAACAAAUUCCACAUACCAUCGUAGAGAGUAUAAUAUUCCACAAAUCUAAUCUGCUGACAACUUUUCAUAACGUGACAUCCUGCCGUGGUCCGGUCAUUAUGAACCGUUUUCCACAGCCUGCCACUACACAUGUUGCGAGGCGGGUUUAUUGGCACGUCUUGUCGAAGCAGAUAUCGUGUUCCCCUUAUCAUGGGAUUCUCAUCAAUACGGGUGUGGGUAACCCAACCAUGCCAUCAAUCGCGAUGCUUGGGGAAUAAGCAAUUUUAUGGGGCAAGUAGGGAGGCGCAUAGUUUCUACCGCCUUUAUAAAGGGACAAGGAUUCCUAUUUUUCACCCGCGCCUUCUUCUUCCCAUGCCCAUCCAUUCUCACGCACUUGAGCUCCAGCGCCCAAGUUCUCAUCUUCUCCGCAAAGCCAUUUCGAACAUGUCCGGAGCGAGGGACAAGUGGAUGGUCUCCUCCAUUACGGAGGAGAACAUUACGAAGCUCCGGGAAUCCGGAUACCUGGCCGUAGACAUCGCACAUCGGCUCCUAGACGCGGGGCAGAUCGUCCCUACUCCAGAAUGCCAUGAGAUGGUUGUUGUCCGUGUCAAAAUCGGCGGAUCUCGGGUAGGGGGUCCCAAACUGUGCGUCUAAGGCGGAUGGUAACAGGAGGCAGGGGACACGAUGUUUACCCAGGUUCGGGCCCUCUUGAUGGAGGUAAUACCCUACGUCCUGCUUGGUUGUUCUUGAUGAUAUGAGUAUUACAAGAGUUGAUGUACCACGAGAUCAGAGAGGCUAAACCCUAGAAGCUAGCCUAUGGUAUGAUUGUAUGUUGUCCUACGGACUAAAACCCUCCGGUUUAUAUAGACACGGGAGGGGGCUAGGGUUACACAAGGUCGGUUACAAAGGAGGAGAUAUACAUAUCCGUAUUGUCUAGCUUGCCUUCCACGCCAAGUAAAGUCCCAUCUGGACACGAGACGAAGUCUUCAAUCUUGUAUCUUCAUAGUCCAACAGUCCGGCCAAAGGAUAUAGUUUGGCUGUCCGGAGACCCCCUAAUCUAGGACUCCCUCAGUAGCCCCCGAACCAGGCUUCAAUGACGUCGAGUCCGGUGUGCAGUAUUGUCUUCGGCAUUGCAAGGCGGGUUCUUCUUCAAAUUUUGAAUGUCUGUUAAGUAGUGUCCGACCCCAUGAAUGUUGGACUUCUUGGCUUCUGUGCUCAAUAAGGGCUAUCUUCCACGCGUCGAACAAACACGAGGAGCCAGGGCAUUUUUACAUUCGCCCCCCUAGCCAGAUAAAUAAAUUGUCUAUUAAAGGGAUGGGGAUUCUUAGAUCCAAUCCAUACCAUCCUCCCACAGUGAGAAUCCAUCGGAGCACGCUUCGGAAAAAUCCACUCCAACAUGGCCGACCACCGCAGCUCCUCCUCCCGCCCCCGUAGCCCUAAGCCCGAUGAUUGGGAGAGGUGUUCCGUCCCACACAAUCGAUUAGUAGAGCUGCAGACUCACGGAUUCCUCCCUCCAGCGUAUAUGGUCCCCGUCCGAGCCGGGCUCACCACCUAUAAUGGCGAGGAGCAAGCGGAGAGCUUCCCCAGCCCCUCUAAGGGGGAGCGGGUGCGCCUUGUUCCUUACUUACUAAGGGGACUCAGAUUUCCAAUUCAUCCGUUUCUCCAUGGGCUCCUGGAGUUUUACGGCCUCCAACUGCAUAUUUUCACCCCUACUUCCAUAUUACAUAUUGCCGGCUACGUUGCCCUUUGCGAGCUAUUUCUGGGCUGCGAGGCUCAUUUUCGAGCUGUGGAAAAGGUUAUUUUGCCUUGUGCCCCACACAUAGGAGGGGUCACUUUAUCAAGUGGGUGGAGCCGAAAUAUGGCGCAUCACCGAAACUGGAUACCUGUCCGGUACUCCGAAGAAGACGUCCGAGGACUGGCCUUCGGAGUGGUUUUAUAUGGAGGACGCCCCCUUCCAGACCCUGUUCGGCGGGGUUUUCCUGAGUUCGACAAUGCUCCUAUGAAGAAACGCCAAAGCUGGCGCCCACGGACCCCCCAGGAGGAAGACAAUGGAGAACUCCUUUACCUGAUGAACCAGAUUAAAGCGCUGGCUCAAUCAGGAUUGACAAUAAUCGAGGUUAUGUCAAUAUGCAUAAUGCGGGGAGUGCAGCCACUUCAAUAUCGAGGGCACCCCCUGUGGUGUUUUAACGGGGAAGAUGAUGCCACCCGUUGCGGGCGUAGGGGACCGGACUCUGCUGCUGCUUUAGCAAAAAUUCUGUCCGAGUUGUUCAAGGGAGAGGAAGAGGAGUUCAUCUGUAUCAGGCCACGGGAUGGAUUCUCAAUGUACAAUCCUCCAAGCUGGGUGAGUUAUACCUCUUUACUCCCAUUCUUCCCUCAUUCUUCGUCGUAGGUACUCACCUUGCCAUUUUAUGGCAGGAACUGCGAAAAGCUAUAAGGGAGGUCAACAGCCCAUCUCCACAACCAGAGGACCCUGGCCCGGCCCUCGGUCCCGGACUCGAAGAGGAUCCAGACAUAUUCGUGGAGCUGAUAGACAGGCAAUUCUAUCAAUUGAGCUGCGAUGACGCCAUGGUGGCCAUAACGGCCGACUAUCCCGGACUGCUCCCUGCGUUGCACGUAAGAAAAACCAAAAUCCCAACUCCAAAACUAGGAUCCCCUUUUGGACACUUCACCUACCGUACACAUAUGGUGUUUUACACGGAAGUCAUUCGGGACGCUGUGCCGAACCCGCAGCAACUCGCCAACAAGAGGCACCGAAGCCAGGUAGGCCAAAAAGGAAGGCGGUCAGGACGGAGACGCCGGUGCAGAGGUAUGACACAAAACCUCGCUCUGUGGUUGUCGUCUUUCUCAAAAUGUAAUGACAUCCAUGCUUCUUCAAUAGAAAAAGCGCUCGCCGGAGUAUAUCCGGAGAGGCUGCCGAUCACGCCUGCACCAGUCGGGCUCUAGGGCCGGACAUAGAGGCAGAAGCCAACAUGGGGCGGACGCCGGAUGCUCCUCCUACAGAGGAUGCAGAUAGACUAUCUGCUACAAAUUCAGAAUUGGAGAGCGCCAUGAAUCAUAGGCGUCGCCGGGCCGUACUCCGUGACGCUUGCUUCUCGCCAGAGGCAUUUGAUGCCUUCAAUUCUAGAGACGCGUACCUCCGUGCUGCUCAAAAUGGUCUAGCCAGAGCCACAGAUCAGUAUGUAAGGGAUGUACGGGUAAGCAAAUCUGACGAUUAUAUGCAUCAGUAGCCCCUGAGACUUGCAACAGUUGACGCAACUGAUUUAAGGAUCCUUAUUUGUGCAGGUUCUUACGGAGAAGAAUUCCCAACUGUCUCAAGAGCUAGACUAGUGCAAGGCCCAGCUCGAAGCCGCUGUUGCCGCAUUGAAGGAGUCCAAAAAGGCCCCCUGGUAACUCUUUUGUCUAUUGCAAAGAAUAUCGGUACCAGGUAGUAUGCGGCAUGUAUGCACACCUAACAAUAGAUGUUGCAGGUGGCCCCGAAGUGAAUCCGGAGGGCAUGGAGGCGGAUACGGCAUGUGAUGAUCGACAUCGAAAUGCUGGCGAGCGCGUGCUGACGCGAGUCAGGCAGGAGAAAAAUGAUCUCCAAGAUGCCAAUAUCCGACUGGGCAUGGAACUGAAGGAUGUCCGAGCCCAGCUUGCGGACUCCAUGAAGGAGAAUAAACGAUUUCAGCGCGGCAUUUUUAGUAAGUGCUUGAAUGAACUUUUUAAAGGAGUUUGGCGAAGAAGCCUGCUAACAACGUUAUGUCUGCAGGUAUGCUGACGGGUUGUCCCGCAGAGGAGAUGCCCGGGUCUUCGGGUGAUCUUCUACCAGAGCUCUCACAACUGCACGAACAAGUUCGACAGGUGAUGCAGAGUAUUGCCCAAGCCUUGUGGCCCUCCGUGUCCCCGCCAGGAGGCAUGGGGGAUCUUAUAGAGAAGCUCAAGGGAGCCGGCGGCGCUUCCGAUUAUGGAAGAUAUUAGCCUGCCGACAAGGUGCAAGGGAAGCCUGGGCUAUGGUGAAGACACGAUAUACCAAGGCUGACCCAAACCAUAUGGCCGAGGUUGGACCUAUGGGGCCCGAUGGGAAAGAGAUCCCCGUCAGUUUAGUGUAUGAUCAAGUAGAAUUAGCCGCAAAGUAUUCCCAACAGGAUUGUAGGCUAGACAGCCUGUUGGAUUGUAUAGAAGAAGAAUUUCAUCAGUCUUAGUGACAGUGUACUUCAAGUGACAUAUGUAAUGUCCCUAGCAGGAUUGUAAAUCAUUUGUCAUGGCAGACCUUUUCGCUUCAACCUCUGGACCCGAUAGUCCAGAGUGUAUCUGAAUACCCACUCGGUUAUAUAAAAACUAGGGUAUGCAUGGAAACCAGGCGUAGGGGUCAUAAGUUCUUGAACAGACAAGUACCCAACUAGCUAUGUUAUAUUACAUGGAUAGUAAGAAACAUCUUCCAGGGGAAUAGUUCCGUUAAGGGUUCCUUUCCCUGGGUACGCAUGCCCUAAUGUGCAUGUCCGAACUGCGAGACGCAGGUUAAAAACAUCUGGGGGCGUGUAGUAAUUUAAAUGAAAGUUAUCUUUUAUUCGCCGAGCGAAUAUUCCCUUAAGAACACUAGCUUUCGGCUUCACCUAGUCUGAGGUAUACAUCUGGCUGAACCAGGAGUAACAAUCGCAGAGGUGCUCCCCUUAUGCCCUAGCCGAAUUAACGGGAACAUAGGGCAUAAAUACAAGAGCCAGUCAACCCAGCUUGGCCAAAACUUAAGUCAUAUCGAUGCAUAUAAUGGCGAGAAAAGGUACAUGCGGAAGAAUAACACAUGUGCGGGGCAUAAAGCCCGGAAAGGUAAUUAUUAAGCUUCUGUAUAGGAAGCCCCCAGGUAUAUUGAGCGCGGUUAGCGCGUCAAGAUUGUGUGACCAAGACACAAGUGUAGCCCUUUAGGGCCUUGAAGAGAAAAGAGAGAAAGAAAGAGAGAAAAAA